rnacentral:rRNA from 1 species
UGGCGAACGGGUGAGUAACACGUGGGUAACCUGCCCAUCAGAAGGGGAUAACACUUGGAAACAGGUGCUAAUACCGUAUAACACUAUUUUCCGCAUGGAAGAAAGUUGAAAGGCGCUUUUGCGUCACUGAUGGAUGGACCCGCGGUGCACUAGCUAGUUGGUGAGGUAACGGCUCACCAAGGCAACGAUGCAUAGCCGACCUGAGAGGGUGAUCGGCCACACUGGGACUGAGACACGGCCCAGACUCCUACGGGAGGCAGCAGUAGGGAAUCUUCGGCAAUGGACGAAAGUCUGACCGAGCAACGCCGCGUGAGUGAAGAAGGUUUUCGGAUCGUAAAACUCUGUUGUUAGAGAAGAACAAGGAUGAGAGUAAAACGUUCAUCCCUUGA